UUCAGUUAUCAUUAAUAUUUUACAAAGUUAUUGAAUGUGCAUGAUUUUGUCUUUAACAAUCUCUUCAAUUAUUUACAGUCCCAUGUAAAAAAUGCAGUAAUGAACGUCCAUGUAAAUAACAUUCCCAUGCUUUGAUGAAGCAUAAUUUCUUGACAUUGCAGUUUCUAAGUGCCCUGUCUUGAGGUUGGGAAAGCUAAAGGGCAGUCAGAAGACAAGGUCAGCAAAGUGUUACCUUUGACAUUUGAAAUCCAGCAGCAGGUAUCACAGUGAACCCCAUUCCAGCAUCCAGGAAGUUUCUCUGCCCUGCCUCUCCUCCAGCCACCUCCGAAUCUGUGUCUGUUGGUCCUGCUUUCCUCUCUCUCCUCUGCCUUUUCUUUCUCUUCAACAACUUCUACCGAGUGCCUCUGAUGUCCCAGACAGUGGCAGUGGGAGUAUAAAGGCUAAUAAACCCGGCUCUGGUCCUCAAAGAAUUUAUGUUUUCUGUGCAGAUAUUAAGUUAUACUGUCAUAUAUAGUGUUGAUAAACAUUGAUACAGAUUUCCUGUGAAGUGCAGAAGCACCAUCCUAGAAGCAGAGAUGCAGAGGCAGCACUGGUGACUCACAUAUGGAGAGCUGGAGUUCUUGGUCUAGUGGGAUAAACCGACGUGGACCUCAUUUCAGUGCAGCGGAGCCACGUUGAGUUGUGUACAACAGAGAGCUCAGGUGUUGGGGGCAGUUUACAUUUAGCCAAAGGCACCGGUUGAAGAAUGCAUUGCUAUUAUGUGAGUAACACUGGGCUUUGAAAAAGCAGAACUGGAACCACGUUCUUGCCUGCUGAGGCUCAGACACACACAUCAGCCUAGACCUACACGGGAUCAGGAUCAUCAACGUCAGUGUCUUCCGACUCCACAUCUUGUCCCACUGGAAGGGGCAGAAACACACACGGAGCUGUCAUCUCUUAUGAUAAUAACACCUUGCGUACAUCCUGAAAGACCUACUUGAGGCUGUUUUACAGAUAAGUGGUUUUCUUUAACAUGCAGAUAGAAUAUAUUCUCAAAGAAUUAUAAAAAGUAUAGUACAGUAAAUACAUAAACCAGGAACACAGUCAUUUAUUUUCACUACCAAGUAUUAUAUACUCCACAUAGUUGUAUGUUCUAUAUAGUACUUUAACAUAACUGGAAAACCAGUAGAUUUCUUUCCAUCAGCAUCAUCACUGAUGCCUGUGUAAUGUGUUACACUACACACUUGUGACAGCUACAAGACACUAGGUGAUAGGACUUUUUAAGCUCUAGUAUAAUCCUAUGGGACUGCCAUCAGACACGCUAUCCAUCAUUGACCAGAAUGUUAUUAUAUAUUACAUGACUGUAUUAUGAAUGCUCAAAGCAGCAUUAUUCAUAAUACAAAAACCAGAAAUAAUUAAAUGUCCAUCAACUGAUGAAUGAAUAAACACUUUAUAUAUCCACACAAUGGACUAUGAAUCUAUGAAAAGGAAAACACAUGACCGGCACAUGCUAAAGUAUCAAUUAACUUCAAAAAUAGUAUCUAAAUGAAAGAAGUCAGACUCCCAAUAUAAUAUGUUGCAUGAUUCCAUUUCUGUUACACAGAUGGGAAAUUUAUACAGACAGAGUAUCAGAGCAGUAUUGCUUAGGGCUGGAGAUGGGAGUAGGGAUGGACAUGGGCAGGAGGGGACUUCAGCGAGAGAAAUAUUUUUAAGUGAGAUCAUGGUGAUGGUUGCACACAGUGUCAAUUUAAUAAAUAAUCAAUUAUAUACCUUUAUAGUUGGGUGAACUUUAUGAUAGGUUCACACCCAAUAUGGUGUGUACACCAUGCAAUAAUGUUAUGGAAAUUCUUACCUGGUUUUUAACCAGCCAAGAUAUAUGCUGUUUAAGCAACAUUAAUUCAGAUGGUUGCGAUAAGUCAUUUCAAGUUUAUGAAGUAGUUGUCCUAUAAAUAUAUGGCGAAUGUUAUUCCAUGAGUUUCCUGUAUCUAUUGCAAUAAUCAUAUUUUUUCUCUAUUAACCUCUUAUGGUGGCUAAUUUUAUUUAUUGCAUUUACAAUGUUAAUCUACCAUGUCAUAUUUUGAAAUCAUAUUGGUCAGAAUUUAUGGUAUUUUUAUACAUCACAUACUUCAAUUUACCUUAUCUGAUUUUAGUUUUGAAGCUAUGUUGCCAUUUUAUUUAAUUCCACAGUAUAGGAUUUUCUAAAUUAUAGAAAAUUAUUAAGUCCUCCUUGAAUUUUUUUUUUAGAACUUACUUCUAGGAAUUUAUAUGAGGUACAGUCCAUAAAGAAUUGUUUUAAUUCCUCAUACAUGUCUUCAAUGGGUAUAGAAUUGGUCAUACUUUUCUGCUUGGAUUUCAACAUGAAACUUACCUCUUAUCUCCUUGGCAGGUAGGCAGACGUGACUCUCCCCAUUUUCUAAAUGGAGACUGUGGGCAAAUGCAGGAUGGUAGUACAAUGCCUCCUGAACAGGGUGAAGAAACUGAUCCACGAGGUCAUGGAGCCUGCCUGUGGUCACAUGGGAUGGGUGCAGAGCUGACGCUGGGCCUUCCGCCGGGACUGAGUGCCAUCUUCUGAGCUCUGUCUACUGAGUGCCUCUGUCCUGUCUGCUGACCAUGGGUCAGAGGUGCAGACUGCACCGGGGAGUAAAAAUGUCACCUUCUCAAUGUUGGGAAAACUCCCUGCCAGAACUGCCAAUGGCCCUUUCCAAGCAGUGGGCAAGCUCAGACUAAAGAAGGAGGCGGCAGACCACGUCAGCCUGGCAGAUUGCCAAAGAUUCAUUCAAGGAGAACCCACAUCCUGGGCCAUCCUGGGUGAUGGCAAGAUAAGGUAGAUCACUGCUUUUGCAAUGCUUCCCUGUCCAGCCUUUUCUACCAUGAAAAGAAAAGGGAACAGGGAAAAAAAGAAACAAAAGUCACUGUUGGGCUCGCUAACUCAUCUGGCUACUUUCUUAAUCUAUUUGCUUUCUGCCUGAAAAGGUUGUUUGGGUUUCCUACAAUCUGGUUGACAUUUCUAAGGUAAGGACAGUGUUCCAGGCAGCAGCAGUUAGCUUGGUCCUUAGGUCACUGUUUUGGUGAAGAUUUGCAGGUGUAUCUGCCACUGUAGUGAAGAACUGCUUUGGGUAGUGUCUGGAGAAAUGUUUUAAAGGACAUAGUUAAAACAUUGUGCUAUAAACCAACACUUGAACGCCAACUGUUUUGUCCUACCCCUCUGUCACAGGGGAGGGGGCUGUGUUCUUGGCAAAGGUCAUCUCUCUGUCAUGAUUCUGGAUCUCCUUCUGUUCUCCUGAUUAUCUGCCACUCAGUUAUCCCCACUCUCUCCCACAACUUUAACCUUGGCUUCUCUAUUUUAGGAGCCUCUUCUCUCAGGCUCAAGGCUCUCCUGUCCUCCACCGUUCCUCCCUCCACCCCAAACACCCUUCCAGCAUGUGUCCCAGCUGAUCUAUCCUUUAGCCAAACUUCCUCAGAAGAGGCCUCACCCUGCCGUCCCUGCCCAUCUCCUCUCUGAUUCACUCGUCAACUCCAUAUCUGAUUUCCAGUUUCUUUUCCUUGCCUGUUGUGACUUCCUGUGGACGUGGCCAAAAACCACAUAGUCCUCCUGUUGUGCAGCAUCCCCUCAAUCUUGAGAUGUCCUCUCCCUCAGUUCCUACGUCACCACACAUACCUGGCUUGGCUUUUCUCUCUAGUCCUUCCUUCCCUGUCUCCUGUGGACUCCUUGUCUGCUCUCCCCGCGUCAGUGUCCUCACAGGGGCUUCCUUCCCUUCUCAGCCGACACCAUCACCUGGGGGAUCACGCUCACCUGGCAGCCUGGGGCCUCUCUAUCUCUGUGCUGGUCAUGCCCACGUCUGAGCUGCAGACCCACAGGCACUUCCACUUGUGCAUCCCAUGCCCAGCACACACGUCUCCUGUCUCAAACGCAGCUGUUCAGCCCCACCUCACCCCUCAGACAAGUUCCUCCCUGUGGAUCACCUUUUUCAUUAAUUAGCACUGUGUUGCCCAAAUCAGAAACCUGGAAGUGAUCUAGACUCCUCACACAUCCAGUCAAUCAGUUACCACAUUUAUUGAUUCUGUCUGCUAAAUAUACCUCGAUAAUAUUUACUUACAUAUAUUCAUAUGUCUCCUUCUCCACUGCAUUUUUUAUUGUGGGCCACAUUUACCCUUCAGGUAACAACAACACCGGCCACUCUGGCCCUUCCAGUCAGAAGUGCCAAAACAACUGUUCUAAGGUGCAAAUCUGAUCACAUUACUCCUCUGGGUGAAACCUUGCAAUGGCUUCCUGUUGAUCUUAGAAUACUGCCUGGCCACCUGUCUUCAGAGGUCCCCGUCACCAGCCCUCUGCAGACUUUUCACUCACACUCCAUGCUCUAGUUGUGGGGAUCACUUCAGUUCCUGGAGUUCCUUUUCUCUGUCCCACUGCUCCCCUCAAUACGCUAUCUGCCUUUCUUGGAACACCGGUCCCUCUUCCUUCCCCACCUCCCCAGGUAAUUGGGUUUGUCUUUCAGGUCUUGCCUUACAUGUCACUUUCUCCAGGAAGCUCCCCUGGCCUCUCAAAUUUGGGUCAAAAAUGUCACCUGGAUGGAAUUUCCACCCAUUCUAAUGCUUCUAAUGCUCAUGUGGAUCAUUCUAUUGGCACGCCUCUGUCUCAUGGUGCAAUGAAAGUUGUGUGGCAGCAAGGUCAGGCUUUCUUGGCUCUCAUGAAAGCACAUUCCUGCCUAUGUGUCUGGCUCCCAGGAUGAUCUCAAUACAUUUUGGUGGACAGGAAAAAAUGAAAGGACAGGGGGAAGAAAACAACCAGCCAAAGUCUAAGAGCCUAUGGCUGGGCUACAGCAAAGUCUUGGCAUGUUCUACAAUGCAUGUCGCCACAUUGGCGGAAACACACAACUGCCUCUUCUGUUCAAAGAUGACCCUUACGGGAAACAGAUGGAAGUUUCUCCCCAUGUGCAGGUAAAGACACAAGCACCGAUGUCAUAGCUGCCACCCUCUCCUCUCACUGCUGCCCAUGCCCAGCUGGUGCUGAGGGGACAUCUCAAACUGUUGUGACUCCAUGGCCCCCAAAGCCACGGAGCUCAGAGCUGCUCCUUAAGGAAUGUCCUCCCCAUUUCCUUCUCCCUGGCUCCUCUCCUUGCUGUGUCCACUGGUGCCUCCUCCUGUGGCUUCUCAAACAUCAUCCUCUGUGCCUCACUGUUUCAAACUUUACUUUCCCCAUAGAAUGUUCUUUUCCACAUGCGUCACUGGAUGCUCAUGAGAAGGCUGAUGGGGUAAUUUUUUGUCAGGACAAAUAAACUGUAUAAAACCUACCUGAAGCACACUAGCACUUCUGAAAUAAAGGUUAAAUAUUUUGUA